rnacentral:rRNA from 1 species
GACAGAGGGUGCAAACGUUGCUCGGAAUUACUGGGCGUAAAGCGCGUGUAGGCGGUUGUCCAAGUUGGAUGUGAAAGCCUUGAGCUCAACUCAAGAAAUGCAUUCAGGACUGGAUGACUAGAGGACCGGAGAGGAUAGUGGAAUUCCCAGUGUAGUGGUGAAAUACGUAGAGAUUGGGAAGAACACCAGUGGCGAAGGCGGCUAUCUGGACGGUUUCUGACGCUAAGACGCGAAAGCGUGGGGAGCAAACAGG